CUGUAACUAUAACAAGAAGAAUAAUGCUGAUGACUUAGGCGAUUAGAUCAUCGUCUACUAUGAAAUUCCUCUUACGUAAGUUCCUGAAAAAGAAAAUGAACACACUUAUGGUGAUCAUGGGGGAGGAAGGAAACUACGGAACAUCCGAACAACAGGUCGUAUAACC
rnacentral:lncRNA from 1 species